GAGACAGGUGGUAGUUAUAGAACACUGGAACAGAGAGUGGAGACAGGUGGUAGUUAUAGAACACUGGAACAGAGAGUGGAGACAGGUGGUAGUUAUAGAAUACUGGAACAGAGAGUGGAGACAGGUGGUAGUUAUAGAACACUGGAACAGAGAGUGGAGACAGGAACAGAGAGUGGAGACAGGUGGUAGUUAUAGAACACUAGAAGAGAGUGGAGACAGGUGGUAGUUAUAGAACACAGGAACAGAGAGUGGAGACAGGUGGUAGUUAUAGAACACUGGAACAGAGAGUGGAGACAGGUGGUAGUUAUGGAACACUGGAACAGAGAGUGGAGACAGGUGGUAGUUAUAGAACACUGGAACAGAGAGUGGAGACAGGUG
rnacentral:lncRNA from 1 species